rnacentral:lncRNA from 1 species
UGCUGCUGCUACCUUGCUGAUCCUGUUGCAGGCUCAGGGCAAUAGCCAAUUCCACCAUGGUUUCAUCAUCUGCAUCUGGAGGGAUAUCCAGCAUUGGAGGGAAUCCCUCUGCUCCAGCCAGAAGAGCCUCCAGGGGAGAAGGGUUCCCAUUGUUCACAUUUUCAGAAGUCUCCAGAACCAUUGAUUCCGACACCAUCUCAAAGUCACCAUGAUCAACUUCACUUUGCUCCUGGCUUUCCUGGCGGAUAUGCUCACCGUUUGCUAUCCCAGAGCUCUGCAGCUUAUCUUCUGCAUCGU